rnacentral:rRNA from 1 species
UAGGGAAUAUUAGUAAUGGGCGAAAGCCUGAACUAGCAACGCCGCGUGUGCGAAGAAGGCCUUCGGGUUGUAAAGCACUUUUAGAGAGGAUGAGGAAGGACGGUACUCUCAGAAUAAGUCUCGGCUAACUACGUGCCAGCAGCCGCGGUAACACGUAGGAGGCGAACGUUAUCCGGAUUUACUGGGCGUAAAGCGCGUGUAGGUGGUUUGGUAAGUAGGGCGUGAAAGCUCCCGGCUCAACUGGGAGAGGCCGUUCUAAACUGCCAAGCUAGAGGAUGGUAGAGGGAGGUGGAAUUCCGGGUGUAGCGGUGGAAUGCGCAGAUAUCCGGAGGAACACCAGUGGCGAAGGCGGCCUCCUGGGCCACUCCUGACACUCAGACGCGAAAGCUAGGGUAGCAAACG